AAAAAAGAAACGAAAAGAGAGAAAGAACUAAAAAAGAACACCUUCUUUCAGAAAUUUUUUGAUUUUUUGUCUAUUGAUUCUGCUUCAGUGAAAAGAGAGAAAGAACUAAAAAAGAACACCUUCUUUCAGAAAUUUUUUGAUUUUUUGUCUAUUGAUUCUGCUUCAGUGUUUUUACAUUAGUUUCUCUGUAUCCCUUUUUUUACAAAUUUCUGUUUGGCUUUUAUAUAGCCUAAACAAUCGAAAAAAAAGAAAAAAAUAUCAAAAUCUAUUCUGUUAUUCUCCUUUUUGUUGCGUCCUUUUUUGCUUCUCUGCCCUUUGUUGUUUGUUUGUGUGCAGGUAUGGCUAGCUGUAGGAG
rnacentral:lncRNA from 1 species